CGAACGCUGGCGGCAGGCCUAAUACAUGCAAGUCGAACGGCUCUUCGGAGCAGUGGCGGACGGGUGAGUAACGCGUGGGAAUGUGCCCUUAGGUACGGAACAAAACAGGGAAACUUGUGCUAAUACCGUAUGUGCCCUUCGGGGGAAAGAUUUAUCGCCUUUGGAGCAGCCCGCGUUGGAUUAGGUAGUUGGUGAGGUAAAGGCUCACCAAGCCGACGAUCCAUAGCUGGUCUGAGAGGAUGACCAGCCACACUGGGACUGAGACACGGCCCAGACUCCUACGGGAUGCAGCAGUAGGGAAUCUUGCGCAAUGGGCGAAAGCCUGACGCAGCCAUGCCGCGUGUAUGAUGAAGGUCUUAGGAUUGUAAAAUACUUUCACCGGGGAAGAUAAUGACGGUACCCGGAGAAGAAGCCCCGGCUAACUUCGUGCCAGCAGCCGCAGUAA
rnacentral:rRNA from 1 species